rnacentral:rRNA from 1 species
AGUGAACGCUGGCGGUAGGCCUAACACAUGCAAGUCGAACGGCAGCACAGGAGAGCUUGCUCUCUGGGUGGCGAGUGGCGGACGGGUGAGGAAUACAUCGGAAUCUACUCUGUCGUGGGGGAUAACGUAGGGAAACUUACGCUAAUACCGCAUACGACCUACGGGUGAAAGCAGGGGACCUUCGGGCCUUGCGCGAUUGAAUGAGCCGAUGUCGGAUUAGCUAGUUGGCGGGGUAAAGGCCCACCAAGGCGACGAUCCGUAGCUGGUCUGGGAGGAUGAUCAGCCACACUGGAACUGAGACACGGUCCAGACUCGUACGGGAGGCAGCAGUGGGGAAUAUUGGACAAGGGGCGCAAGCCUGAUCCAGCCAUACCGCGUGGGUGAAGAAGGCGUUCGGGUUGUAAAGCCCUUUUGUUGGGAAAGAAAUCCAGCUGGCUAAUACCCGGUUGGGAUGACGGUACCCAAAGAAUAAGCACCGGCUAACUUCGUGCCAGCCGCCGCAGUAA